rnacentral:misc_RNA from 1 species
AACGCAUAUGGCACCUGCCAGCCCUGCUGGAAGGUAUGCCUGUUUGAGAAUCACACUAUCAUUCUGAUCCGAUUGCACCACGUGCAGUUGGUCGACAUGGGCCUUCAGCACUGAUCGCCUCGAAUUGCUCGCGAUCGUCGUGGUAGACAAGGGGGCGUGGCAGCGAUGCCAUCAUCAUCCGGUGUUGUCGACGAUCAACCCGUGCUCGUGAUCUCAGAUCAGGCAAGGCUACCCGCUGAACUUAA